CACCAAGCACGCAUGCGCGCUUCUCUAGCACUGUGUAUUAAGCCGCAGGGCCUUUGUCCACUGUUUUUAAUCUUUGGAUUGAAAUCCCUGCAUCCUAGGCUUCUAGAAGUGCUGUCCGUGCAAGAACCUCCUCUGUCUUGCUCCCAUUGCACACCUAGAACCUGGAACGGAAAGUGCCGGGUUCUGCCAAAUAGUGGAAACUGGGAGGAGAAAACCCAACUGGCUGUCCUGACUCCUGCUCCCGCCCUCUGCCUCCCCGCGUGGUCUCUAGAGGACCAGGAAUGGGGACAAGGUGGUGCUGGUCACCUGGACCUGGAAAGCUCAAUCCAAAGAUUUU